CUUUUCUUUAGAAAAUAUACAUAAAGCUUGAUUAAUCCAUUUUUAAAUAUGUUUCACAGUAGAAAUAGAAUUGUGCUAGUUGAGCCACUGAGGCAGACAAAAGAUCGGUAUUUGGCCAGAUGUCACAGAGAAGAGAUGAUUCUGUGUUCAAAGAACAAGGUCACCAAAUUGCUCUUCCUUGCUUUUGUUCACUCUAAAAAUUUCGCACUAAUAGAACAUGUGGUUGAUGUACCUUGGGAUCAAAAUUCUUGCAUUUCUCGGCAUCACAUAUGCAUAAAAAAUACAUUUUGCCCAAAGAUAGUUUGUUCAUAUAAGGCUGAAGUGUCAAAUAAGUGGUGCAGAAAUUAUAGGAUUAUAUUAUAAUAUUUUAUCAUGGGGUAAUCAAAGAAGACAGAUAUUAAUCCUUCAAGUGCUUUGUGGAAGCUAUUUAGCUUUUCUUUCUUUCUUUUUUUAAUUGUAAGGAUUCCAAUUCCACUAUGAGGCAAAAUUUGAAGGGCGAUGCUUUACUUUCUUUCAUAAUAGUUGUUUGAAAGUUCUAAUUUUAAUCUCAUUGAGUUUUAUAUUUUGAGAACAAUAAACUCUUGUUUUAGGAGCAACAACAGUGGCUGGUUUAAUUUUAUCCUAUCUUUUUGUUCCCUUUAGCUGAGAGAGAGGGAGGGAGGGAGAGAGAGGGAGAGGGAGAGAGAGAG
rnacentral:lncRNA from 1 species